rnacentral:rRNA from 1 species
UAACUGUAACGAUGCGGACUUGGUGUUGGGGUGGCUUUGAGCUGCUUCAGUGCCGAAGGGAAGCUGUUAAGUCCGCCGCCUGGGAAGUACGGUCGCAAGACUGAACUUAAAGGAAUUGGCGGGGGAGGCACCACAACACGUGGAGCCUGCGGUUUAAUUGGACUCAACGCCGGAAAUACUCACCGGAUAGGACAGACAUAUGANAGUCGGGCUGAAGACUCUACUUGAUGAUCUGAGAGGAGGUGCAUGGC